CAGUCUUUAUGUGGUCCACUCACUGCAUCUGUGACUAACACACUGUUGUUAAUAAUGACAAGGUUUUUUCCUUUCUGCUAGGCAGUGCACUGCACAUGCACAACCCUUUUUCCAGACAGUCCACCAGCACAAGCCCAUUCCUGAUCCCUGGCUUACCAACAUAUCCUGGAGUCCCACAGGCAGUGGACAUGAUGCCGUUCUGUUCCAUUUUAGACAAGCCAAAGUCCGUGAUCAUGAUUUUGGAGUUCUCAUCAGGAGUAAGGAGCUGCUGUCAUCCUCUUCCUUGCGACCCAUCUCCUCCAGAGUGGAAGCAGGGGACGCUGUGAGAAGAGGAGAAGGAGAGGUGACUGGGGUGGAGGGUGCUCGCAUGAAGAAGCUGGCUGGGUUCGGGAUGCUGUGAGAAGUGCUGGCUUGGGAAUUGAUGUGAUACCAGGGUGCUGGGAGGCUGCUGAGAAGGCAAAGAGGUGCCCAGCUUUGUGCCCUGUCUGCUCACGGGACGCUUGACCUUGGUCAGGUCCCAGUUCCCCACUGGUAAGCUCUUUAGAGUGCAGGCUGGGCAGCAGGGCUGUAAUACAGAAAAAUCAGUGCGGAUCAAAAGUUCUUCACAAAAAGCCUUUCUGCCAACACCUUGAGCCCCCAGAUGAAGUUUUCUUUUGCAGCCCUUUGCCCACCCCAGAUCUCAACAGAUCUGGACAGUCACGUCAGGAGGAUUUUCAGCAGAGACACUCAGCUGCUGGUGGAAGAGCUCACAGUGCCCUACAGAUAAAGGCCUCUCAUGCCUGGGAAGCUGAAGCCAGCCGGGGAUGAUGGAAGGGCGAGAAAGUGGCGAGUGCAGCAUCGUGGAUCUGCAGCAGAACCAAGCAGUUGCCCAGCACAGGCUCCUUCCCUCUGGCCCUGUUGCUGCCCAGGCAGUGGGAAGGUAUUGCAACAUCCUCUGUGGCUGCAUUGCUGACCUCCAGAAAUGUUUGAUCCAGGAUGUUUGAGAGAUGAGGGGGUGAAAUCAGCCUGUGCUCACCAGCUGAUCGUCAGCUCUGCAUGUGCUUGGGCUCCUGCUGUGGCUGCAGUCCUGAUGUCCAGGAACUAGAGCUCCUGUAAUUUGCAUCCUUAUAUCAGGAAGCGAUGCAGUAUGAGAACAGCUCAUCUACCACCAGGGAAGGACCCCCAGAAAUCACUUGUACCACCGGAUUUACAGGUAGAGGUGUUUUUAUUUUAAAUAAUAGCAAUUUUCUGCUUUAGCCUGUGAAUUAAGAACACUGGGAAUUUCUAAUGUUACUGUUGGACCUGCUGGAUGAACAGGGGGAUGGUCCAACUGCAGAC